rnacentral:rRNA from 1 species
GCACAAGCGGUGGAUGAUGUGGUUUAAUUCGAUGCAACGACGAAAACCUUACCCACCUUUGACAUGUACGGAACCCUUUAGAGAUAGAGGGGUGCUCGAAAGAGAGCCGUAACACAGGUGCUGCAUGGCUGUCGUCAGCUCGUGUCGUGAGAUGUUGGGUUAAGUCCCGCAACGAGCGCAACCCUUGUCAUUAGUUGCUACAUUCAGUUGGGCACUCUAAUGAGACUGCCGGUGACAAGCCGGAGGAAGGUGGGGAUGACGUCAAGUCCUCAUGGCCCUUAUAGGUGGGGCUACACACGUCAUACAAUGGCUGGUACAAAGGGUUGCCAACCCGCGAGGGGGAGCCAAUCCCAUAAAGCCAGUCGUAGUCCGGAUCGUAGUCUGCAACUCGACUACGUGAAGUCGGAAUCGCUAGUAAUCGUGGAUCAGAAUGUCACGGUGAAUACGUUCCCGGGUCUU